rnacentral:rRNA from 1 species
GGAAUAUUGGUCAAUGGGCGCGAGCCUGAACCAGCCAAGUCGCGUGAGGGAGGACGGCCCUAACGGGUUGUAAACCUCUUUGCCGGGGAGCAACGGGCGUCACGUGUGGCGCCACUGAGAGUACCCGGAGAAAAAGCAUCGGCUAACUCCGUGCC